AUUGUUUAAAUUCCAGAUAUAUCACAUACAAAGUUUCCAUGACGCUCUUUCGCAAAUAUCCACCAUGAUUUAAUAUGCUAUUUGUUAGUAAUGAGUGGUAUGAAAAUGAAAGAAAACUUAAUAAUGGACUAAAACAUCUAUUACAUGAUCUGGUUACUUUUGGUAGGUAUAUAAUAAGCAGGUCAAUGCCAAGUGUGAACCCAGCCAUGCACUUGUGCUUCAAACCCUUUGUGCAGUUGUUAUCAUUUUUUGUUUUUUCUCGCCACAAGGCAA
rnacentral:lncRNA from 1 species